GAACACAACUACUCAGCCAUAAUUAAUGUCCACACCGAAUAGUUUAAUAUCAAUAACAUUUACCAUGUGCAAUAUACUACAGAUCUCUCAGUAUGCCAUCUCAAAUCACACAAUCAUAACUUACACAAUUUAAUUCAAUACAUACGGACCCUACAGAAGGCCUGCAUUCGUUUCCAACGACGUAUACUAUCCUGGGAAAACUUAAAUCUCUGAUCCACACGCUCGUGUGUCUCACACGGC
rnacentral:lncRNA from 1 species